GCCUACGGGAGGCAGCAGUGAGGAAUAUUGGUCAAUGGGCUUACGCCUGAACCAGCCAAGUCGCGUGAGGGAAGACUGCCCUAUGGGUUGUAAACCUCUUUAGGCGGGGAGCAAUGCCGGGCACGUGUGCCCGGAGGGAGAGUACCCGCAGAAUAAGCAUCGGCUAACUCCGUGCCAGCAGCCGCGGUAAUACGGAGGAUGCGAGCGUUAUCCGGAUUUAUUGGGUUUAAAGGGUGCGUAGGCGGAUUUUUAAGUCAGCGGUAAAAUGUCCGGGCUCACCCCGGGCCGGCCGUUGAAACUG
rnacentral:rRNA from 1 species